rnacentral:lncRNA from 1 species
AUCGUAUGGAAAACUAAGAGGUCAAAACAGCUAUAGAACAGCAUGAAGUUCAAGGAUUGCACUGCUUAAAGAACAAAGAUGUUUUGGCCCUAACACCUGGAGACUGCAUGUAAGCUUUUGGGUUUGCUGGCUUCACUAAUUACCAUGGCUGUUACGAGAGUAAAGCAUGAAUAUAGGGAUCAAAGGGGAGUUGCUUUUUUUGUUGUGUAUGAACAGAGGACG